GACGAACGCUGGCGGCGUGCUUAACACAUGCAAGUCGAACGGAAAGGCCCUGCUUUUGUGGGGUGCUCGAGUGGCGAACGGGUGAGUAACACGUGAGUAACCUGCCCUUGACUUUGGGAUAACUUCAGGAAACUGGGGCUAAUACCGGAUAGGAGCUCCUGCUGCAUGGUGGGGGUUGGAAAGUUUCGGCGGUUGGGGAUGGACUCGCGGCUUAUCAGCUUGUUGGUGGGGUAGGGGCUUACCAAGGCUUUGACGGGUAGCCGGCCUGAGAGCGUGACCGGCCACAUUGGGACUGAGAUACGGCCCAGACUCCUACGGGCGGCAGCAGUGGGGAAUAUUGCACAAUGGGCGGAAGCCUGAUGCAGCAACGCCGCGUGCGGGAUGACGGCCUUCGGGUUGUAAACCGCUUUCGCCUGUGACGAAGCGUGAGUGACGGUAAUGGGUAAAGAAGCACCGGCUAACUACGUG
rnacentral:rRNA from 1 species